rnacentral:rRNA from 1 species
AUGCAGUUCCCAGGUUGAGCCCGGGGCUUUCACAUCUCGCUUAACAGACCGCCUGCGCGCGCUUUACGCCCAGUAAUUCCGAUUAACGCUUGCACCCUCCGUAUUACCGCGGCUGCUGGCACGGAGUUAGCCGGUGCUUCUUCUGUGGGUAACGUCACAGCUGAUAGGUAUUAACCAACUGCCUUUCCUCCCCACUGAAAGUGCUUUACAACCCGAAGACCUUCUUCACACACGCGGCAUGGCUGGAUCAGGGUUUCCCCCAUUGUCCAAUAUUCCCCACUGCUGCCUCCCGUAGGAGUCUGGACCGUGUCUCAGUUCCAGUGUGGCUGACCAUCCUCUCAGAACAGCUAGGGAUCGUCGCCUAGGUGAGCCAUUACCUCACCUACUAGCUAAUCCCACCUGGGCCUAUCCGAUCGCGAGAGGUCCGAAGAUCCCCCGCUUUC